rnacentral:rRNA from 1 species
AGUGAGCGCUGGCGGUAGGCCUAACACAUGCAAGUCGAACGGCAGCACAGAGGAGCUUGCUCCUUGGGUGGCGAGUGGCGGACGGGUGAGGAAUACAUCGGAAUCUACUCUGUCGUGGGGGAUAACGUAGGGAAACUUACGCUAAUACCGCAUACGACCUACGGGUGAAAGCAGGGGAUCUUCGGACCUUGCGCGAUUGAAUGAGCCGAUGUCGGAUUAGCUAGUUGGCGGGGUAAAGGCCCACCAAGGCGACGAUCUGUAGCGGGUCUGAGAGGAUGAUCAGCCACACUGGAACUGAGACACGGGCCAGACUCCUACGGGAGGCAGCAGUGGGGAAUAUUGGACAAUGGGCGCAAGCCUGAUCCAGCCAUACCGCGUGGGUGAAGAAGGCCUUCGGGUUGUAAAGCCCUUUUGUUGGGAAAGAAAUCCAUCUGGUUAAUACCCGGGUGGGAUGACGGUACCCAAAGAAUAAGCACCGGCUAACUUCGUGCCAGCCGCCGCCGUAA